rnacentral:rRNA from 1 species
GACGAACGCUGGCGGCGUGCUUAACACAUGCAAGUCGAACGGAAAGGCCUCUUUCGGGGGGUACUCGAGUGGCGAACGGGUGAGUAACACGUGAGUAACCUGCCCUUGACUUUGGGAUAACUUCAGGAAACUGGGGCUAAUGCCGGAUAGGAGCUCCUGCUGCAUGGUGGGGGUUGGAAAGUUUCGGCGGUUGGGGAUGGACUCGCGGCUUAUCAGCUUGUUGGUGGGGUAGUGGCUUACCAAGGCUUUGACGGGUAGCCGGCCUGAGAGGGUGACCGGCCACAUUGGGACUGAGAUACGGCCCAGACUCCUACGGGAGGCAGCAGUGGGGAAUAUUGCACAAUGGGUGGAAGCCUGAUGCAGCAACGCCGUGUGCGGGAUGACGGCCUUCGGGUUGUAAACCGCUUUCGCUCAUGACGAAGCUUUGCGUGACGGUAGUGGGUAAAGAAGCACCGGCUAACUACGUG